UGAUCCUGGCUCAGGAUGAACGCUAGCUACAGGCUUAACACAUGCAAGUCGAGGGGCAUCAGAAAGAAAGCUUGCUUUCUUUGCUGGCGACCGGCGCACGGGUGAGUAACACGUAUCCAACCUGCCCUUUACUCGGGGAUAGCCUUUCAAAAGAAAGAUUAAUACCCGAUGGGAUAAUGAUUCCGCAUGGUUUCAUUAUUAAAGGAUUCCGGUAAAGGAUGGGGAUGCGUUCCAUUAGUUGUUGUGAGGUACGG
rnacentral:rRNA from 1 species